rnacentral:snRNA from 1 species
GAAGCGAUCAUCCGAUAACAUUGGGACGAUGCAGAGAAUAUUGGCAUGACCACUACACAAGGAUGACACGCACAACGUGAGAAGCGUCAAAAGGUAAC